UCUGAAGUUGUUGAUCGCGGAGAACAGACAGAAGAGCAAGAAAAGCUCCACAAGGCUCCGGCAGGGGAUUGUGGCGAACCUUGCUGUACUCUUUCACCACAACUUUCUCUCAAUCUUUCUCCCUGUUUCUGUUGUGCCUGUAAUUCAAAGGGUCAGCCUUGUCACACACUGUGUCACGCUGAAUAUCCCCCGAGAACUACGUUAAGGGUACACGUGUCUGUGGAGUGCUCAGCCACUUGCACGUUAAUUUCACGAGCAGGCUGUUCCGUUGAUCGGAUCGACUGGAACCCUCGACGUCGUAAGCGACGGAGGGCCAACAACAACAACGAAUAAUGAUAAGUUUAAUGAUAAUAAUAAUACAGUAGAAGCUCACAAGUCACGCAGCUUAAAUCUAUGUCUCCGUCUGGACCAUUAAUGCAUAAACCAAGGCGGGAACCUCAAGCUAGAAAUUAUCAAAUCUACUGCAAGACACAAAUUUAAAAUCAGGACACAUUGGAUAAUCUACUCCUAGAACCUUCCCUGUGGUCAACAUCAUGAGUUUAUUUCACCAAACAACAUUGUUUACACUGAAUCUUAUUUUCUUGUAAACACUUGGAGUUUAUAACCAUUAAGUUUGGUGAUUCUGCUAGGAAUGAAAGAAAACAGAAUUCAAGAAAGAUAUUCAUUGCAUCAGAUAGUGGGCAUAUUCAUCUUUUUAAUAGAUGGCACAAGAA